AGUCAUGAUGACCCAGCUGAAACUGCCAGACGAGCUGGGAAGGAUUGCUGUCGAGGGGAAGUUAGAGUAACAUUCGGUCUGAGAUAUUUGGUGUACAAGCUUAAGGGGGUUAUAAAAUGGAGGUAAAAUCUGGGCCUCCCUCACUACAGUAAAUGGGUUAAAGCUUGCUGAGGGCUAACAGGAUUGCUGCGGAGGACACGGCAAUGCCAACUGGCAUCGGUACAGAUGGCAUCACCCUGUGUGCAUGUUCCUUUCCUCUCCAAGAAAUACACUCAAGUCUCCACCACUCCCCUUUUCAGACCUUUCAGCCUCAAUCAUUCUCAUUUACAUCUCUCCUCUCCCUCCCUUUCCACUAUUGAGCCUAACCCGCUCAAGGGUACGUGAGCCUCCACACAUCACUUUACAUCACUCUCUGGAAUCAAUUAUAAAGUCACAGUGGAGGCCAACGUAUCCCUGAGUGGGUCAGGCUAGAGAGAGAGAGAGAGAGGCAGGCUUAGGAGGGUGGCGUCAUUUAGGUGGACGUGAGUUUAUUCACAUCCCACUGAGGGGCAUGAAUCAGGAUGGCUGUGUGAAAGCACGUUCCAACACUAUUGUUCCAGUAGGCUGACUAACAGUGUAUCUUCUCUCUCACAGCUGUAUCUGAGCGUUGCAACUUCAGGCUCCUUCAGCCUGUCUGGCCUCAGUACCAUGAAACCAGUCAGACUCAUGAUCCAGAUUGCCCCCAGCCUCUCGUUCUCUCUGUUCCACUUCACUCCCCAGUGACAGAUGGAAUGGGGUUGGUGGACUGAGAGACCAGUAUCCCCAGUUACCAUUUACCCAGCAACAGGAUCAACAUAUAUCUCCUCUGUAUCUGAGCGUUGCAACUUCAGACUCCUUCAGCCUGUCUGGCCUCAGUACCAUGAAACCAGUCAGACUCAUGAUCCAGAUUGCCCCCAGCCUCUCGUUCUCUCUGUUCCACUUCACUCCCCAGUGACAGAUGGAAUGGGGUUGGUGGACUGAGAGACCAGUAUCCCCAGUUACCAUUUACCCAGCAACAGGAUCAACAUAUGACCCAUAUCUCCCGUAAGUGACCUGCACCUUCACACACAUGCACCUACUGCACACACACACACACACACACACACACACACACACACACACACACACACACACACACACAGCCACCGUUCAUCCACAUUAAUGGUUAACUGACACAAUUACUCACGUAAGGUGUCUGUCUACCCUCACCUGUUGAAUAUAUUGUAUGCAGGCGUGUUUGCACCUUCACCCAUGGAAUCUGAUCCACCCUGCCUAUGUGGCGGUAUCGUCUGACCUCUGGUAUAUUAUAUUACCAUUGGAAGGUAACUACAUUGAUCUUCUAAGGUAAACUACACAGAUCAGAUGAUUGAGUAGAAGAAAGGUCACGAUAGAGUUAACUCUCCCCUUUGCUGGGUCUACAAGGCCUUGUAGGGAUGUGAGCUUUCAGUGUCCAGUAGGGAUGUGAGCUUUCAUACUGUCCAGUAGGGAUGUGAGCUUUCAUACUGUCCAGUAGGGAUGUGAGCUUUCAUACUGUCCAGUAGGGAUGUGAGCUUUCAAACUGUCCAGUAGGGAUGUGAGCUUUCAAACUGUCCAGUAGGGAUGUGAGCUUUCAUACUGUCCAGUAGGGAUGUGAGCUUUCAUACUGUCCAGUAGGGAUGUGAGCUUUCAUACUGUCCAGUAGGGAUGUGAGCUUUCAUACUGUCCAGUAGGGAUGUGAGCUUUCAUACUGUCCAGUAGGGAUGUGAGCUUUCAUACUGUCCAGUAGGGAUGUGAGCUUUCAUACUGUCCAGUAGGGAUGUGAGCUUUCAUACUGUCCAGUAGGGAUGUGAGCUUUCAUACUGUCCAGUAGGGAUGUGAGCUUUCAUACUGUCCAGUAGGGAUGUCAGCUUUCAUACUGUCCAGUAGGAAUGUCAGCUUUCAUACUGUCCAGUAGGGAUGUCAGCUUUCAUACUGUCCAGUAGGGAUGUCAGCUUUCAUACUGUCCAGUAGGGAUGUCAGCUUUCAUACUAUCCAGUCAGCAGAGACUCUGGUUCAGAAUGAGAAUAGUAACAUUGGGCAUAGCUCCAGACUGUUACAACACAGUGAAUCAAUGUUUUAUAUGAGAAGAACGGUAGGAGUGAGUAUUUUUCCAGUGAACAUGUGGGACAGACAGACAUAGGACUCUGUUUCUCCUUUCAAAACCGUGUUCUCAUAGUUGACCCUGUCCCCAGUUGCCCGCAAAAAAGGAUUUCCUGUGAGCUCUCUGAAUGGUCUCUAGCGUGUGUGUGUGUGUGUGUGUGUGUGUGUGUGUGUGUGAUUAUAGCAGCAGCAGUGGUCAGAGACCCAGCAGAAACAACUAUGGAGAUUUCCCCUGAGUUUAGUCCUCUCGUAACAAUGCUGCAUUGUACUGUGUGCAUCUGGUGUGGAGUCAUGUCUCCCAAACACACGCGCGCACACACAAUUCACAACCACUGUCUACCUGCUACACGGCUUGGUGUCUCACUCCGACACUAUGCCGACACUAAGUGGGUGGACUAAAACAGACUAUUUAGUACAUGUGUGGUCCAAGUAUAGAAAGAGAGAGGAGGAAAUGGGAAUAGUUGUUUUCUAAAAAGGCAGGAGGAG
rnacentral:lncRNA from 13 species